CCAGACUCCUACGGGAGGCAGCAGUGGGGAAUAUUGGACAAUGGGGGGAACCCUGAUCCAGCGACGCCGCGUGAGUGAAGAAGUAUUUCGGUAUGUAAAGCUCUAUCAGCAGGGAAGAAAGAAAUGACGGUACCUGACUAAGAAGCCCCGGCUAACUACGUGCCAGCAGCCGCGGUAAUACGUAGGGGGCAAGCGUUAUCCGGAUUUACUGGGUGUAAAGGGGGCGCAGACGGCGAUGCAAGCCAGGAGUGAAAGCCCGGGGCCCAACCCCGGGACUGCUCUUGGAACUGCGUGGCUGGAGUGCAGGAGGGGCAGGCGGAAUUCCUGGUGUAGCGGUGAAAUGCGUAGAUAUCAGGAGGAACACCGGUGGCGAAGGCGGCUUACUGGACUGUAACUGACGUUGAGGCUCGAAAGCGUGGGGAGCAAACAGGAUUAGAUACCCGUGUA
rnacentral:rRNA from 1 species